AGAGUUUGAUCAUGGCUCAGAUUGAACGCUGGCGGCAGGCCUAACACAUGCAAGUCGAACGGUAACAGGAAGAAGCUUGCUUCUUUGCUGACGAGUGGCGGACGGGUGAGUAAUGUCUGGGAAACUGCCUGAUGGAGGGGGAUAACUACUGGAAACGGUAGCUAAUACCGCAUAACGUCGCAAGACAAAAGAGGGGGACCUUCGGGCCUCUUGCCAUCGGAUGUGCCCAGAUGGGAUUAGCUAGUAGGUGGGGUAACGGCUCACCUAGGCGACGAUCCCUAGCUGGUCUGAGAGGAUGACCAGCCACACUGGAACUGAGACACGGUCCAGACUCCUACGGGAGGCAGCAGUGGGGAAUAUUGCACAAUGGGCGCAAGCCUGAUGCAGCCAUGCCGCGUGUAUGAAGAAGGCCUUCGGGUUGUAAAGUACUUUCAGCGGGGAGGAAGGGAGUAAAGUUAAUACCUUUGCUCAUUGACGUUACCCGCAGAAGAAGCACCGGCUAACUCCGUGCCAGCAGCCGCGGUAAUACGGAGGGUGCAAGCGUUAAUCGGAAUUACUGGGCGUAAAGCGCACGCAGGCGGUUUGUUAAGUCAGAUGUGAAAUCCCCGGGCUCAACCUGGGAACUGCAUCUGAUACUGGCAAGCUUGAGUCUCGUAGAGGGGGGUAGAAUUCCAGGUGUAGCGGUGAAAUGCGUAGAGAUCUGGAGGAAUACCGGUGGCGAAGGCGGCCCCCUGGACGAAGACUGACGCUCAGGUGCGAAAGCGUGGGGAGCAAACAGGAUUAGAUACCCUGGUAGUCCACGCCGUAAACGAUGUCGACUUGGAGGUUGUGCCCUUGAGGCGUGGCUUCCGGAGCUAACGCGUUAAGUCGACCGCCUGGGGAGUACGGCCGCAAGGUUAAAACUCAAAUGAAUUGACGGGGGCCCGCACAAGCGGUGGAGCAUGUGGUUUAAUUCGAUGCAACGCGAAGAACCUUACCUGGUCUUGACAUCCACGGAAGUUUUCAGAGAUGAGAAUGUGCCUUCGGGAACCGUGAGACAGGUGCUGCAUGGCUGUCGUCAGCUCGUGUUGUGAAAUGUUGGGUUAAGUCCCGCAACGAGCGCAACCCUUAUCCUUUGUUGCCAGCGGUCCGGCCGGGAACUCAAAGGAGACUGCCAGUGAUAAACUGGAGGAAGGUGGGGAUGACGUCAAGUCAUCAUGCCCCUUACGACCAGGGCUACACACGUGCUACAAUGGCGCAUACAAAGAGAAGCGACCUCGCGAGAGCAAGCGGACCUCAUAAAGUGCGUCGUAGUCCGGAUUGGAGUCUGCAACUCGACUCCAUGAAGUCGGAAUCGCUAGUAAUCGUGGAUCAGAAUGCCACGGUGAAUACGUUCCCGGGCCUUGUACACACCGCCCGUCACACCAUGGGAGUGGGUUGCAAAAGAAGUAGGUAGCUUAACCUUCGGGAGGGCGCUUACCACUUUGUGAUUCAUGACUGGGGUGAAGUCGU
rnacentral:rRNA from 1 species